rnacentral:snRNA from 1 species
AUACUCUGGUUUCUCUUCAGAUCAUAUAAAUCUUUCAACUUUUA